UGGGGAAUCUUGCACAAUGGGGGCAACCCUGAUGCAGCGACGCCGCGUGAGCGAUGAAGCCCUUCGGGGCGUAAAGCUCUUUCGACCGGAACGAUAAUGACGGUACCGGGAGAAGAAGCUGCGGCUAACUACGUGCCAGCAGCCGCGGUAAUACGUAGGCAGCAAGCGUUGUUCGGAUUUACUGGGUGUAAAGGGUGCUCAGGCGGAUUUGUAAGUCAGAGGUGAAAUCUUACAGCUUAACUGUGAAACUGCCUUUGAUACUGCAAGCCUAGAGUAUGGAAGAGAGUGAUGGAAUAUCUGGUGUAGCAGUGAAAUGCGUAGAUAUCAGAUAGAACACCAAUGGCGAAGGCAGUCACUUGGUCCAUUACUGACGCUAAAGCACGAAAGCGUGGGUAGCAAACA
rnacentral:rRNA from 1 species